rnacentral:rRNA from 1 species
GACGAACGCUGGCGGCGUGCCUAAUACAUGCAAGUCGAGCGAUGUUUAAAGAUCGCUUGCUAUUUUUAUGAAGAGCGGCGAACGGGUGAGUAACGCGUGGGAAAUCUGCCGAGUAGCGGGGGACAACGUUUGGAAACGAACGCUAAUACCGCAUAACAAUGAGAAUCGCAUGAUUCUUAUUUUAAAGAAGCAAUUGCUUCACUACUUGAUGAACCCGCGUUGUAUUAGGUAGUUGGUAGUGUAAAGGACUACCAAGGCGAUGAUGCAUAGCCGACCUGAGAGGGUGAUCGGCCGCACUGGGACUGAGGAACGGCCCAGACUCCUACGGGAGGCAGCAGUAGGGAAUCUUCGGCAAUGGGGGCAACCCUGACCGAGAAACGCCGCGUGAGUGAAGAAGGUGUUCGGAUCGUAAAACUCUGUUGUUAGAGAAGAACGUUAAGUAGAGUGGAAAAUUACUUAAGUGACGGUAUCUAACCAGAAAGGGACGGCUAACUACGUGCCAGCAGCCGCCGUAA